AUGUGCAUCCCCGGCACGGAGGGGGGUGGUUUCUUUAAUUUAAUGAGUGGGUUUCCCUUGUUAAGAUGCCAACCAGGAGUUCCCACUGCAGCUCAGCGGAAACAAACCCAACUAGAAUCUGGGAGGAUGUGGGUUCAAUCCCCAGCCCCGCUCAGUGGGUUAAGGAUCUGUUUUGCCGUGAGCUGUGAUGUAGGUCACAGACAUGGCUCGGAUCUGGCAUUGUUGUGGCUGUGGUGUCGGCCGGCAGCUGUAGCUCCAAUUGGACCCCUAACCUGGGAACUUUCAUAUACCGAGGGUGCGGCCCGAAAAAGCAGAGAGAGAAAAAAAAAAAGCCAACUAAUCCCUUACUUAUUAACGCAGACUGAAUCUUCCCCGUGUUUCCCAACUGGGUCCUUUUUCACUGUCUCUCGACUGAGAAGUCAGGUACCUUCUUCAUUCACCAAUGAAGAAAACUCAGAAUCAUCAACCCAGAUGGGUGAUGAGACCGGGAGAGACUCUACAUGUUUGUCUGGCCAUGCAGACAGGUGCAUGGGCACAAGGCUCCACAUCCUUGUAGUUCAGGGCCUGAAGAAGAUCGCUGCCUACAUGAGGUCCAGUCGCUUCCUCCCAGGUCCUUUGUUUCUGAAGGUGGCCAUGUGGGGCAACAAGUAGUGUCCUGCAGCCAGGAGAUGGACGGAGGACUGGGGCUCUGGAGAACAGGCAUGAUUGGGAUUCAGAGCUCUGGAGACACCUAUCGCAGGCCCUGGGGAUCCAGGAGAACGUUCAGAAGAUUAAGCCUGCAG
rnacentral:lncRNA from 1 species